UGUAGCAGCAUCAGCACGUAAUAUAAAUACUAGCCAAACACGUGAUGUACCAAUGGCAUGUACUUGAAUGAAGAGAUCAUUAAAAAAAUCUACCAUACAUCAGACGCCAUUAUGAGGCAUUGGCAACAAUGUGGCAACAACAUCACAUAUAGUAUUCCAUCAUUCAGAGCAAGGAGCAUAAAAAGAACCAGAAUUUAAAAUGAAUAUGGAGGCAUGGCAUAUGCAUCACACGAGACCAUCUAGUAAUAGAAUUUCAGUACAUCCAUAAGUCCACCAGUCCACAUGGAUACAUCACAUAUCAUAGCAGCAACACCACACAUGACUCUGUGUCGCACAUCAUCAGGCUACCACGGCUAUCUACACGUGUACCUGGAACAAAAGUAUACCUGCCGACCUAUCUGUCCGUCGGAACUAGUCUAGCUAACUACGGCUGUGCAAACUCUGGAAGGGUAGCUACGGCUACAAGACCUUUCCAGAUAUGCACAGAAUCCAAAAGGACAGCCUCCAUGCAUCUGCCUAAACAUCUAAUAAGUGGCGGAACUAACUCUGGGAGGUGUAGCUAUGAUGCUACAACCUUGCCAGAAUACUAACUACUACUACUAGUAGCACGUCAAUCCUCCCUAACAAGAGGACUAGGUGAAAUGGUGAGGAGCAAGUCGGGGUCGAGGGCAGAAGUUGGUGCAGGCAGAGACACACUCGGUGCAGCAGCGUCAGACUCGGGUGCGCUGAUGGUGCUAAGAGGGUACUCAGAGGGAGUGUGCUAAGAGGGUGUGACGUCGGAAGCGACACGAAGGUACUCCAGGGGCUGAGAAGACACCUGGCGGGAGUCGAGUGCUAGAAGCUCUGAGUAAGUGACGCCAAUCACUAAAAAGUCGGGGGUGCCAUCGGGAGAAGGUGGAGCAGGGUCGGUAGCUGGAGAACCUGGUGGAGUGUGGGGAGUGUGCUCUGGAGGUGGUGGGACUACAACGGAACUCAGAGUAGGAGCAACCUGAGAGGAAGGCUCGUCGGUGACAAGAGACUCCUGGUCAAUCGGGUACCCUACCCGGCCUGGAGAGGCGGAAGGUGAGCUGUCGAUCUGAAGAGGGUUGAGGGCCAUACCCGGAUGGGUGUAGUCCCUCAACGCAGUGGACAUCUCGCUGUUUGCCCGCUCAAGCUCGGAACAACGCCUCUGAAGAGUGUCAACCUGAUCUAAUAGGUCCUGAACGAGCUGAGGUGCAGGUGGACGCUCGUACAGUGUGGAGGGAUGUGACACUGCGCGAGAGGAGGAACCCCUGAUGACUCUAGGAGCUGGGUGGUCUGCCCGAGUGGGUGGGACUGUCGGGUACAGAGGUGGACGAGCGGCAGUCGAAGCUGGUGGUGGUAAAAAUGUGGGAGGUAAAAUAGGAGGACGUGGUGAAAGUGGAGGGAAAGUGGAAGUGGUCGAAAAAGGCGAAGGAGUGACAAUGGGCGUAGGUGCAGACGAACUCCCUGCUCCUCUAGCUGAUGAGGCCACUCGCCUCUGCCCGCGUACUGAAGGAGAGGGUGGUAGGCGUGGAAAAGGUGUAAAGCGGCAUCUCGUGCCGCACCCUAAAGUGCUGAAACAAAGUCGUAACGGGCAACACUGUACCUAGAAGGGACUUCUAAGCUCUCAGGAAUGUGCACUGUGACUAAGUACCCCGUGGAACACGGGUCGUGAAACACUGUGUAGUACGGUGCAAUCAACACACCCAGAAGACCAAGAAGCUCAACCAAGAACAGAGCAAAACCACCAUACUCAGGACCCAUACCAAACAUCCUACCACUCCUCAUCCUACAUUAAGAAAUUUAAGAAUUCAGUUAGUUAUAACACAGUGUAAAAUUAAUUUUACCAAGGACAGUAAAUAAACAAUUAAACACAUUUUUCUUGCACAAUUGUGUGCUCUAAAUUAUUUAAUCUUCACUUGACUUGAGUCAUUUUUUAAAGAAAACUUUUAGUUUAUUUUAGGUAAGGAGGGAACCUAUCUUUCCUAGGGCUCAGACGGUCUCUAACCAAGUACAUGACUGUUUCCUUAACGCUGCUCUGAUACCACCUCUUCUAUGACGCCCCGUUACGUCCAACAGAGUCAGGCGUAAUGGAAGCCGUCACUUCAGAGUUACGCCAGGAUCAGUUAAGGAGAACAAUGUCAUGUACAAAACGGAGCAGCUGCCAUGAGUAGGCAAGCUUUUAUUACAUAGACACCUCAUGUGUCGACUAAGCCUAUGCGGCCAUGACGAUAGAUCGUCACCCGCUUCUAGUACGAGCCUUUUAGACCAACCAUGGAGGGCAUCUACUCUUCAUAACCUUGAUUGUCGACUUCCUCAUAGUCAUACUCCACUUUAGAAUAACCGAAGUCGUUAAGAUGACCAGACUCAUCAUAAGUACCAUUCUCUAUCGCCUCGGAGUUCUCAUAACUCUCUUGCUCUGAAAAACAACAUAAGUGCAGCUGAGUACGUAUAAAAUACGUACUCCGCAAGUCGUCGGGAAAAGUGGAUGCAUGAGUUUUUAAAGAGGAAAAACUUUAUCGGUCACAGCUACCACCACCGAGCCAUUAUCUCAAAAUACUAUGUAGGUAAAAAUAUUUUCCUUUAACCAAUUUUGUUGAAAACCAAAUUUUAUUCAUAAAAUUUACUGGCGACAGAGCGACGUGGGAUCUUACAUCCCGUGUUAGAGGAAAACCCACACGACGCACUUCCAAUCCCGGAAGCUGGGAGUGAUAUCACAUUUAAUCUGAUCAGAGGUGUACUGCUUUGCCCAUAGCAUCACUUGGUACAAGUCGUCCAUGCGCUACCCGUGCGCACGACUAGACCAAGGAACCAGAACCUUUAACCAGCCCGUACACUACCUCUGCUUUUCCACCUUGCCUUACUAAAGGCCCGCGGGUCAAAACCCCUGACCGGCGGUCCCGCCCUAGGGUGACUGUACCUACCCGGCUACAGCCACCUUCUCACCCAUGCAGAGGCAGCUACUUGGCAUGGGUAGUCGGUUCAGCCCAUCCCAUUCCAGGUCUAUGGUCAGUACGAUUUGCGCCGCUUUUGAAGUAAGCGCCAGUUGGUUGUGUCCUAAUGUGAUACCCUAUGUAGAGGAGCCCGCCAUCCAAGCCAACCCUACCCGGGUUGCCUUCACCAACAUAAGCUCCCCUACCCACCAAAUAUUUAUUUAUAAUGUAGCCCUGCCCGGGUCACAACUACUCAAUACAGAUACUUCACCUGAUCUGGUCCAAUUGCCAAAUUAGUGGAUCCACCUGAUGCAAAUCUCAUUUCAUUUAUGAAAAAUAUUUAUUUUUAAUUCUUAUGCAAAAUUUUAGAAAUGACCCAUAGCCCGGAAAAAAUUUAUCAAGACAUGGUCAAGGAGAUGACGACUUGCCGGGUAGUGCUUCGACCAACUCGGAACCACCAGAUGCGACUCCUACGAGUCCGGGAUCGACUCAUGAUAAUUAUUUCACAAACAUGUUUAUAAUGCCUAAUUAAAAUCUAAACAUCCAGCAACACGGCCAUGUUGGGCAAGCCAUAAUUAAUUAACUAGGUACUGAUACGUCCUAGUGUUUCAUUGAGAUAUAAAAUGCAUCUAAGCCAUCCAAAUCAGAGUAGCAUGCACGUAUGUCAUCCAGUCCAGAGAGUGAUAAAAGAAAUGAUAAGUAAAAGGAAACAGUAGCCUAGUACUGUACUACUUGUACUUUGCUGGUUAAGCCCCAGCCCGUGUCUAUCCAGAAAGACUACUCAACUUCUCUGCUAUCCCACGAACAGAACCAGCCCGCUCACCUCUCUCUCUCCUCCAAGAACAGAGCGCGGCCGCCGUCGCCUCGAUCUGCCCCGUCCGGGCAUCUACGGCGACACGGCGGACACCAACAGAUUCCCCUCGUCUCCCUCUACCAUUUCCCCCUAUUUAUUAGAUCCGCCGCCGCCAAAAACGUCGCCACCACUCAAUCCUAGUGCCGCCUGAUCCAGGUCUGGUGGGCUUGCCACCGGCUGCAGCAGCCACACGCACAAGGCGUGCAGCCACAGGCGUCGGGCGUGUGCGGCUUCACCGGCGCUGCUCGGUUGCCAUGACUUUGCUGCUAACGGUGUGGAGUAGCCACAUCCUACUGCUACUACCGGUAAAUAGAUCAAGGUGAAUAGAUGCUUAUGGACUGAUUCAAACCGAGGUGGAGAUAGAUAAGAAAUCAAGCAAGAAGGGCUAACACAACAAGGUACUUGAUUAGUACCUGGUGGCGCAUGCAACCCAAAGAGCUUCACAGCAGGGGAAGAUAGCAGUGUGGCAGAAGGUGAAAAGGCAGAGGGGUUUCUCCAGCGGAUGAUUGUGUGUGGCCACAGUGAAAGGGAUGGCUCCUAUUUAUAGUGGGGUGAAUAGCUAUGUCGGUUUGGAGAGGCAUUACAUCUGGCACGCAUGCGUGGUUAGUCUUGCAUGCAUGCCUCCACUUGUGCCUCUUGUGGGCUGUACUAGGGACAAGUGUAAUUUGCUUGGCUGGCCAUUAGUUGGCAUUUACUUUGUAUGAAGGAAAUGAGACAAGGGUCUAUAAACUAUAGGGAGGUUUGGAGAAGAAUUGUUGUGCAUGACUAAAUGCUAUUUGCUGUAAUAAAAAUAAUAAUUAAGUGUAGUUAUUUCUAUUAUUUUAA